rnacentral:lncRNA from 1 species
CUCAGGGACUCUGCCCUUUGGUCCUACCCAGGAGAUCGAGUGCAGAGUUUUCAAGAAAGGCUUGCAGAAGCAGAAAUGGCUCACCCUCAGCCUGGAGCUUUUCAUGACUCUCCAGAAGAAAUGUCAACAGCCUUUUGUUUGGGUGAGCACGCCAAGACUAGCCCAGAGGACUCCUUUAGAUGCACUUGUGUGCCUGUCCUUCUGCACCAAGUCACACACAAGCCAGCUCUUCUGAUGCUCCAAAGCUGCCAUUGGCUCCUUGUAUAGCCUACAGAGCUAACUGUGCAUCGGCCUCCAUCCUGGGCAGGACUGAGGUCUCUUCAGUCUCCCUCUCCCCACUCAGCAGCCAAUCCAGGGCCAGGGCCUUUACAGUUUUACGUAAAUUUCAUCAGAACCCUUUGAUCCAACUAAAGUUUACUUCUCCCAGAUGUUGCAAAACAGCUAUCUUGGCUGCAUUUUUAAAAAUUGUCUUCCCAAUGUCCAGUGUAAUUCUUGGUACUCA